rnacentral:rRNA from 1 species
UACGUAGGGUGCGAGCGUUGUCCGGAAUCAUUGGGCGUAAAGGGCUCGUAGGCGGUCCAUCGCGUCGGGAGUGAAACGCUGGGGCUUAACCCCAGUCCUGCUUUCGAUACGGGUGGACUAGAGGUAGGCAGGGGAGAAUGGAAUUCCUGGUGUAGCGGUGAAAUGCGCAGAUAUCAGGAGGAACACCGGUGGCGAAGGCGGGUCUCUGGGCAAUAACUGACGCUGAGGAGCGAAAGCGUGGGGAGCGAACAGG